UACGGGGGGAGCAAGCGUUGUUCGGAUUUACUGGGCGUAAAGGGCGCGUAGGCGGCGUGACAAGUCACUUGUGAAAUCUCCGGGCUUAACUCGGAACGGUCAAGUGAAACUGUCAUGCUAGAGUGCAGAAGGGGCAAUCGGAAUUCUUGGUGUAGCGGUGAAAUGCGUAGAUAUCAAGAGGAACACCUGAGGUGAAGACGGGUUGCUGGGCUGACACUGACGCUGAGGCGCGAAAGCCAGGGGAGCAAACGGG
rnacentral:rRNA from 1 species